CUGCAGUCGACGAGAAAGUUUCCUUCGGGAAACGAGUAGAGUGGCGCACGGGGGAGUAACGCGUAGGUAAUCUAUCCUUAUAUUUGGGAUAACAUUGGGAAACUGGGGCUAAUACCGAAUAGUCUUUUUUGCUGCUGGGCGAAGAAGUAAAGGGGGCCUCUUCAUGAAAGCUACCGUGUAGGGAUGAGCCUGCGUACCAUUAGCUAGUAGGUGAGGUAACGGCUCACCUAGGCUACGAUGGUUAGCGGGUCUGAGAGGAUGAUCCGCCACACUGGAACUGGAACACGGACCAGACUCCUACGGGAGGCAGCAGUGAGGAAUAUUGCGCAAUGGGGGAAACCCUGACGCAGCGACGCCGCGUGAGUGAGGAAGGUCUUCGGAUCGUAAAGCUCUGUCAGAAGGGAAGAAGUGUUAUAUGGUUAACACCCAUAUAAUUUGACGGUACCUUCAGAGGAAGCACCGGCUAACUCCGUGCCAGCAGCCGCGGUAAUACGGAGGGGGCGAGCGUUUUUCGGAAUUACUGGGCGUAAAGGGCGCGUAGGCGGCCGGAUUAGUCAGAUGUGAAAGUCCACGGCUCAACCGUGGAAGUGCAUUUGAAACUGUCCGGCUUGAGUAUCGGAGGGGAAAGUGGAAUUCCCGGGGUAGAGGGGAAAUUCGUAGAGAUCGGGAGGAACACCGGGGGCGAAAGCGACUUUUUGGACGAAUACUGU
rnacentral:rRNA from 1 species